rnacentral:rRNA from 1 species
GAUGAACGCUGGCGGCGUGCCUAAUACAUGCAAGUCGAGCGAAUGGAUUAAGAGCUUGCUCUUGUGAAGUUAGCGGCGGACGGGUGAGUAACACGUGGGUAACCUGCCCAUAAGACUGGGAUAACUCCGGGAAACCGGGGCUAAUACCGGAUAACAUUUUGAACCGCAUGGUUCGAAAUUGAAAGGCGGCUUCGGCGGUCACUUAUGGAUGGACCCGCGUCGCAUUAGCUAGUUGGUGAGGUAACGGCUCACCAAGGCAACGAUGCGUAGCCGACCUGAGAGGGUGAUCGGCCACACUGGGACUGAGACACGGCCCAGACUCCUACGGGAGGCAGCAGUAGGGAAUCUCCCGCAAUGGACGAAAGUCUGACGGAGCAACGCCGCGUGAGUGAUGAAGGCUUUCGGGUCGUAAAACUCUGUUGUUAGGGAAGAACAAGUGCUAGUUGAAUAAGCUGGCACCUUGACGGUACCUAACCAGAAAGCCACGGCUAACUACGUGCCAGCAGCCGCGGUAA